rnacentral:piRNA from 1 species
UCCACACACAGUGAUUGUUUCCUUGGAGU